rnacentral:rRNA from 1 species
GGACCCGCACAAGCGGUGGAUGAUGUGGUUUAAUUCGAUGCAACGCGAAAAACCUUACCCACCUUUGACAUGUACGGAAUCCUUUAGAGAUAGAGGAGUGCUCGAAAGAGAGCCGUAACACAGGUGCUGCAUGGCUGUCGUCAGCUCGUGUCGUGAGAUGUUGGGUUAAGUCCCGCAACGAGCGCAACCCUUGUCAUUAGUUGCUACAUUCAGUUGGGCACUCUAAUGAGACUGCCGGUGACAAACCGGAGGAAGGUGGGGAUGACGUCAAGUCCUCAUGGCCCUUAUAGGUGGGGCUACACACGUCAUACAAUGGCUGGUACAGAGGGUUGCCAACCCGCGAGGGGGAGCUAAUCCCAUAAAGCCAGUCGUAGUCCGGAUCGCAGUCUGCAACUCGACUGCGUGAAGUCGGAAUCGCUAGUAAUCGCGGAU